rnacentral:rRNA from 1 species
AUUGAACGCUGGCGGCAGGCCUAACACAUGCAAGUCGAGCGAGCGGCGGACUGGUGCGUAAUUUCUGGGUAUCUUCCCGAUAGAGGGGGCUAACUACUGGAAACGGUGGCUAAUCCCGCAUACUAUCUGCUGAACCCAUAUGGUAUUAGCGAGUAGGUGGUGUAAAGGCUCACCUAGGCGACGAUUUCUAGCUGGUCUGCGAGGAGGAUCAGCCACACUGGGACGGAGACACGGACCAUACUCCUAUGGGAGGCAGCAGUGGGAAAUAGUGCACAAUGGGCGCAAGCAUGAUGCAGCCAGGCCGCGUGUAUGAAGAAUGCGUUAGGGGUGGAAAGUACUUUCAGCGGGGAGGCGUUACCCGCAGAAGAAGCACCGGCUAACUCCGUGCCAGCAGCCGCGGUAAUAC